GGAACAUACCCUUUUCUACGGAAUAGCCUCGGGAAACUGAGAGUAAUACCGUAUAAGCCCUUCGGGGGAAAGAUUUAUCGGGAAAGGAUUGGCCCGCGUUAGAUUAGAUAGUUGGUGGGGUAAUGGCCUACCAAGUCUACGAUCUAUAGCUGGUUUUAGAGGAUGAUCAGCAACACUGGGACUGAGACACGGCCCAGACUCCUACGGGAGGCAGCAGUGGGGAAUCUUAGACAAUGGGCGCAAGCCUGAUCUAGCCAUGCCGCGUGUGUGAUGAAGGUCUUAGGAUCGUAAAGCACUUUCGCCAGGGAUGAUAAUGACAGUACCUGGUAAAGAAACCCCGGCUAACUCCGUGCCAGCAGCCGCGGUAAUACGGAGGGGGUUAGCGUUGUUCGGAAUUACUGGGCGUAAAGCGUACGUAGGCGGAUUGGAAAGUUGGGGGUGAAAUCCCAGGGCUCAACCCUGGAACUGCCUCCAAAACUAUCAGUCUAGAGUUCGAGAGA
rnacentral:rRNA from 1 species